GCUUAUCAAGAGUGGCUCUAGGGACCGGCCCGUUAAGAGCCCGGCAACCGCGGAAAGCAGCGGUGCCAAUUCCGGCAGGGUAACCUGAAAGAUGAGG
rnacentral:ncRNA from 1 species